rnacentral:rRNA from 1 species
CGUAGGUGGCUAAGCGUUGUCCGGAUUUAUUGGGGUCUAAAGGGUGCGUAGGCGGCCCUGUAAGUCAGUGGUGAAAUAUCUCAGCUUAACUGAGAGGGUGCCAUUGAUACUGCGGGGCUUGAGUACAGAUGAGGUAGGCGGAAUUGACGGUGUAGCGGUGAAAUGCAUAGAUAUCGUCAAGAACACCGAUAGCGAAGGCAGCUUACCAAGCUGUAACUGACGCUGAGGCACGAAAGUGUGGGGAUCAAACAGGAUUAGAUACCCUGGUAGUCCACACUGUAAACGUUGAUGACUCGAUGUUGGCGAUACACAGCCAGCGUCCAAGAGCAAUCGUUAAGUCAUCCACCUGGGGAGUACGCCGGCAACGGUG